ensembl:lncRNA
CGACUUCUGCUAUCAGUGUCGUCAACACUUCAUGUGUGAGGUGUUUCAUGUUAGAUCGCAGCAACAUCCCUUCCAGAAUACGACGUGCUACUCCUAUCAGUCUUUCCCAACAACCUCCCACAUGGGAUGAAUGGGGGGAAUUGAAAGUCCACGUACAUCCCUGCUUGUCAAGAGCUACCUCCACGAGUGCGCCGAGUGACAAUGCUCCAUGGCCCAAAGACGUCCAGUCCAACAUCGAUAAAAGGGGGUUCUGAGGUGAGUCUGUCAGCUGGUAGUGGUGCCAUCUUCUGUUCCAUUAACUUUCCUCACAGUCUUUUGCAGAUCACACAGUUAUAGAGGACACUAGACACCAGCCGUUUACCUCCCAC